UACGUAGGGGGCAAGCGUUGUCCGGAUUUAUUGGGCGUAAAGAGCGUGUAGGCGGCCAGACAGGUCCGUUGUGAAAACUCGAGGCUCAACCUCGAGACGCCGAUGGAAACCGUCUGGCUAGAGUCCGGAAGAGGAGAGUGGAAUUCCUGGUGUAGCGGUGAAAUGCGCAGAUAUCAGGAAGAACACCCGUGGCUAAGGCGGCUCUCUAGUACGUGACUGACGCUGAGACGCGAAAGCGUGGGGAGCGAACAGG
rnacentral:rRNA from 1 species